rnacentral:rRNA from 1 species
ACGACACUAACAAUCCUUCGGGUGCGUUAAUGGGCGUCGAGCGGCGGACGGGUGAGUAAUGCCUAGGAAAUUGCCUUGAUGUGGGGGAUAACCAUUGGAAACGAUGGCUAAUACCGCAUAAUGCCUACGGGCCAAAGAGGGGGACCUUCGGGCCUCUCGCGUCAAGAUAUGCCUAGGUGGGAUUAGCUAGUUGGUGAGGUAAUGGCUCACCAAGGCGACGAUCCCUAGCUGGUCUGAGAGGAUGAUCAGCCACACUGGAACUGAGACACGGUCCAGACUCCUACGGGAGGCAGCAGUGGGGAAUAUUGCACAAUGGGCGAAAGCCUGAUGCAGCCAUGCCGCGUGUAUGAAGAAGGCCUUCGGGUUGUAAAGUACUUUCAGUUGUGAGGAAGGGGGUAGCGUUAAUAGCGCUAUCUCUUGACGUUAGCAACAGAAGAAGCACCGGCUAACUCCGUGCCAGCAGCCGCGGUAAUACGGAGGGUGCGAGCGUUAAUCGGAAUUACUGGGCGUAAAGCGCAUGCAGGUGGUUCAUUAAGUCAGAUGUGAAAGCCCGGGGCUCAACCUCGGAACUGCAUUUGAAACUGGUGAACUAGAGUACUGUAGAGGGGGGUAGAAUUUCAGGUGUAGCGGUGAAAUGCGUAGAGAUCUGAAGGAAUACCAGUGGCGAAGGCGGCCCCUGGACAGAUACUGACACUCAGAUGCGAAGCGUGGGGAGCAAACAGGAUUAGA